rnacentral:lncRNA from 1 species
CACCCGAUCCCCACCUGUAGCGCAAGGCCCAGGACAGGGGUCAGGGCCACGGGGCUGGGGACCAGGGCUGUCUCGGGGCUCGGGGUGGGCGGGUCCCCAGCAGGGAGCAGGGUGACGGGGAGGAAGAGAGGGAGGCAGCAGGGAUCCUGGGGGACACGUCCCACCUAGAGCUGUAAAUCAUGAGGGGUGGCCCGUGGGAUCCUGGCCUGGACUUGGCAGCCUGGUGUGUUCCCCGCCAUCCCACUAAAGCUGCCCCCAUCCCUCCACGAGCUUCGUCUCAGACAGAACCGCGAGCGCGGGGGGCCACGGAAGCAGAGCCGAUGACGUGAGGGCAGAGGAUUCAGGUUGCACUGAGAAGCACUCGCGUUAUUCUUCUCCCCAAACCCAGCGCGGCGCACACAGCAGACCACAGGCGGAAUUCAGCCCUCACAGCGCCUGGGGCCGCGGCAGAGCCUGAGUCGGCUUGUUUGUUGGCUUGAUACUAGACCCUGUUCAGCUCUUCGUUUCCUUUAGUGGUAUUACCUGGAGUCCAGCGCGGAUGAGGGCUGUGUGCCCCUGUUCCCCGCAGGCAGCUGCAUCUCUGCAGAUGGCGCUGUAUCACCACUGUUUCACGCAGAAGGCCGUGCCCACUGACUUCGAUUUUCCUCUUAUGCAACAAUUUACAGAAUCUGCUGAUGAUUUAGGGCUUGGGGAGCCUAACUUAAAAUUAAGUAAAUACGCAAACUAGAGUGUCACCGUCUUUCGAACAUGACUCUCCUCUGUGACCAGCUCCUUGGUUAAUGCCUGGAUGUUUAGUCAGUUUCCUGUCCGAUGGCGCCUCAGAGAGAAGGCCUCCCCAGUGUUUGCACGGAGCAGGUGGAGGAGGGGCUGCAGCUGAGGCUCUCUCCCAGGGUGGUCCUAAAGAGCUGGCGCCUGGAGGUGUCUGCAGGAGCAUGAGGACAGACAGCUGGCCCGGCUCUCCACGGUGUCACAUUGUGCUCAGCAAAGCCCUCGGCUGCGUGAAUGCCCCUGGUCAACUUGGUUCCCAGCGACCGUCGUAUGAAAGCCACACACACGGCCUUAAAGCUUUGAGGGUGUUAGUUCAGCUCUUUCUCACAGCCUCGGUCAGCAGCACGCCCCACUCGAGUCAGCGCGGAGAGAACCAGCCCGCCCCUGCUGACUGUAGGUCACAUCCAGGACGGGAACCUGUGGCAGCUUGUGAUGACCUGGCUCCCCCGGGAAGUGAGCAGCAGACUCCCACCUGAACGAGACACCACCUUCUCUCAGCUAAUCUCUGUGAGCGACGCCGGACAACGGGCUAGACGUAACUUGGGUGGAGAAAGAACCGGAAGCGAAUUCCCACCUUUUGCUGGCGGCCAGAGCAGCCUUUAGUCGUCACGAUGCGGAUUCAUUUCAAAGCCAGUUCAGGGACAAAGCCCGCCCUGCCCUCCAGUGGUCCAGGGGCACCCGGAGCAGCAGGGGCUGGCGUGGGGCCCAGCCACCUGGAUGGACAGGCCAACUCUCCCUCAGAGCCCGAUGACGGACUCCUGGACAGGAAUGAUGGAGCCCGUGGGGCCAGAGGAAAGAAGCCACGCCACGUGGGGCGGCCUCCACCCUGCCUGAUGUUUCCUUCCGUGGGCACCUUCUCAUGAUUGCUCCUGAGCCCUCCUGUCAGUCGGCCUGGGGGCGGCUGGACUUCUCUGCCCGGGGAGUGUGAGAACAUGGAUGGACACACGUGUCUGUCCCCCUGCUGCCUCCUGGGAGCAGCCUCCUGACUCUGGGGGUUGAUGACUCUGGCUUCUCCACCCUCGUCUCCCCCCGACAGCCUGUCCCGACCCAGCCAGGUGGUGGUUAGAGCUGGAGGCCUCAGAGCCAGCUCGGGUGGGGCCCGGUUGGUGCCAUGAGGUCGGUCAUCUGUGGUGGCCACAGGGUAUGCCCACGAGGCAUCGUGAUGGCAGCUGUGGGUGGUGACAAGGUGUGAGCACAGGUGGCGUCGAGGUGUGAUGGAGGAGGAGGAGGUCACUGGAAUGAGGGUCCAGGCCCUGUAUUGGGUGGCAGUCCUAAGGAUGCUCCUUCCGCCAAGGCUGAUGGCAGAGCAGCUGUGGAGCAAAAAAAAGCUGUUGAACCAGGGUCUCCAGCUGAGGGUGGCAAUCCAGAGGCAGGAGCCCACAGAGAGGCUGAGGGCAUGCCUGGUGGCUGACGGAGGAGGGAGGGAGGUGCUC